CUUUGUUCAAUCACAAUCAUAAGUUAUUUUAAUUUGAAGAGUUCCGGAUCAUCAACUAUCACAAUAUUUUGGAGGCAGCCAAUACCGAACUUAACUCUCAUUUCCCUCGCGGCAGAUGAUUCCUAAGCAGGGCACGAAGCGGAAGCAGAAGCAGACAAUGGCCGACAGUGAGAUGAAUCGCGUUGUCGUCAUCAUAGAAGAACUCCAGGCACUUGACAAACAGAUUCAGAAACUCCUGUCCAGACAAAGAUACCUUAGGGAUCUGAAGGCUCGGCUGCUGGAUAAACCAUCCUCGCCAUCUGAAAUUGGCGUAACAUCAACCCCGCGUUGUGCCACUCAAGUAAACUUCACCCCCGCGCCUCGUAGGAGCGACGACGACACUGAUGAAGACCGCAGCGUAUUUCAGCUAUGCAGGCGGGGGUUCAAGGCUAGAACACCUCCAUCGGCGCAGGCGAGCAUCUCGACUCAGAACUGGUUCUACCCUCUCUGCGUCCCCAGUUUGCCUUCAACCCCUUAUGAUGUAAUAGUGGUAGGUGAUUCGAUUGUUAGAAACCUCAAUAUCGCAUGCCCUAAUCGAAAAUCUUUUGUUUCUUGUUUUCCCGGUGCUUGUGUGAUGUGAUGAGACGUGCGCCGGCAAUCUACGAGAAGCACAAGAAGAGGUCAGUUGGAGGUAUUGUUAAGGCACCGACAGUCGGAAAUCCUCAAGGCUGACUUCGCAGUACUAAUUAAAGACACGAAGAAGAGGACCCCAUUGGCAAAGAUCUUCAUUUCGGGUCCACUACUUCUCGUCAGACGAUCAAAUGAGUACUACAGUCGUCUGCUAGGAUUAAACAACUGGCUGCAAGGCUUCUGCAAGAAUCAAGACAUCGUAUUCAUCAACAACUGGGACCUCUUUUGUGAAAGGCCGCGUUUCUUCAAGAGAGAUGGCCUGCAUCUGAACAGUUUCGGCGCCUGGGUCCUCUCCGAAAACAUAUCUAAGCACCGUGAUGUUCCAACAGUGAUGGAUUAAAAGCCAGAAGUCUGCAUGAACAUCAUCAUCAAGUCCUUCCGUGAGAACCCUAAAUACAAAGAGGACUAUUUCAUUUAUGUUAGGUAGAAUGCCCAGAGGGGACUGGACAGUCUCGUGGCCUGGAACCCCUGCAGAUUUUAUUUUUUUCUCCAGCCGUCUGGAGUUUUUUUUGUUUUUUCUGUCCCCCCGGCCAUCGGACCUUACUCUUUUUCUAUGUUAACUAAUGUUGUCUUAUGUUAAUUUCUUAUUUUGUCUUUUAUUUUUCUUUUCUUCAUUAUGUAAAGCACUUUGAGCUACAUUUUUGUAUGAAAAUGUGCUAUAUAAAUAAAUGUUGUUGUUGUAAUUAUUUCUAUUGAAUUUUCUGUUUUUUUUUAAUCUUUUUGUUUCCAUCUUAGAAUUUUUAAAUAAAAUCUUGCAGUACUUGUUAUAUUCUUUGCUUUGUACCCCAAUAAAUGCAAGUUAUCACUAAUAUACUACAACCCAAUUGUGCUUCACUCACUCAGAAUAUGGAGCCAAUGUAGGAAGCAUUUUAAGAUAAAGAAGCUUUUAUCUGUGGCACCUCUGCACAAGAACCACCUUUUUCUACCCACUCAAACAUAUGCAGUUUUUAAUGUCUGGAAAACAUUUGGGAUUAAAUCACUUAGAGAUCUGUACAUAGACAACGUCUUUGCAUCCUAUUAACAAUUACAUUCCAAAUUUAACUUCCCAGCAAGACAUUUCUU